CCUACGGGAGGCUGCAGUCGAGAAUCAUUCACAAUGGGGGAAACCCUGAUGGUGCGACGCCGCGUGGGGGAAUGAAGGUCUUCGGUUGGUAAACCCCUUUCAUGUGGGAGCAAAUUAAAAAGAUAGUACCGCAAGAGGAAGAGACAGCUAACUCUGUGCCAGCAGCCGCAGUAAUACAGAGGUCUCAAGCGUUGUUCGGAAUCACUGGGCGUAAAGCGUGCGUAGGCUGUUUCGUAAGUCGUGUGUGAAAGGCGCGGGCUCAACCCGCGGACGGCACAUGAUACUGCGAGACUAGAGUAACGGAGGGGGAACCGGAAUUCUCGGUGUAGCAGUGAAAUGCGUAGAUAUUGGGAGGAACACUAGUGGCGAAGGCGGGUUCCUGGACAUUAACUGACGCUGAGGCACGAAGGCCAGGGGAGCGAACAGGAUUAGAUACCCCGGUAGUC
rnacentral:rRNA from 1 species